UCCAGGGCCCUAGACGUGGAUGAAGUC
rnacentral:piRNA from 1 species